GCCGUUGUCCUCCAGCUUCCUCUGCUGCUCGCACAGAGCCGGCGACGCCGGGUCAGACAGACGCCUCACUUCCUGUCUGUCUGCCUCGUCCACACCUGGUUCACCUGCUCCACCCGUCUGCUGCUGGACGUUCGGAGGCAUGAAACAGAGGAAUGUGCUGCCACAUCAGGAGGAUCAGAAACCAGGUCAAAGGGUCACUGAUAUUGACCUGAGUGUUUGACGGGUAUCGGCUCCCAGUGACGGUGUUCAUGUCCAGCAGAGCGGAGCAGGAGGCCGACUCAUCGAGGCUGCACAGAUACACCACCAGCAGCUCCGUGGAACUACGCAGGAACACAGUAUUUAUUUAUAUAUAUAUAAAAUACAGUAUGUAUGCUGUGUAUAUAUAUAAUAUGAUGUGAAAUAACUAUACAGGUUAUGUGAGCAGAUAUUAGUCCCAACUCUAAUACUUUAAGCUUUCACUAAUGAUGUUUUCAUUAAUUGUAUUUUUGGAAGUUUCUUUUUGCACUUUAGCAACAGAAAGUGUGAGUCAAUGGAUGCAAAUGUUAGCAAAGUUACGAUUAUGGAGGUUUUUCAGUUUAUAUUCGUACUUACUUCAUGAGCAGAGUGACUCUCAUGUUGACCGGGACAAACGGGCUGAUGGGAACCCGGUAGGUGUACCGACCUGGUCUGAAGGAACCACAGGGAACAUCAAGUUAACACCAACUAACUAACCAACUAACUGACCGACUGACUAACUAACUAUCUAACUAAC